rnacentral:rRNA from 1 species
AACGUACGCUGGCGGCACGCCUAACACAUGCAAGUCGAACGAAGUAGCAAUACUUAGUGGCAGACGGGUGAGUAACAUGUAGGUAUCUGCCCUUUGGCCUGGAAUAACACGAGGAAACUUGUGCUAAUACCGGAUUAGUCUUUACGGAGAAAGCUUUAUGCACCAUUGGAUGAGCCUGCACUUGAUUAGUUUGUUGGUGGGGUAAUGGCCUACCAAGACUGUGAUCAAUAGCUGAUUUGAGAGGAUGAUCAGCCACAUUGGGACUGAGACACGGCCCAAACUCCUACGGGAGGCAGCAGUGGGGAAUCUUGCACAAUGGAGGAAACUCUGAUGCAGCGAUGCCGCGUGAGUGAAGAAGGCCCUUGGGUUGUAAAGCUCUUUCGUCGGGGAAGAAAAUGACUGUACCCGAAUAAGAAGGUCCGGCUAACUUCGUGCCAGCAGCCGCGGUAAUACGAAGGGACCUAGCGUAGUUCGGAAUUACUGGGCUUAAAGAGUUCGUAGGUGGUUGAAAAAGUUAGUGGUGAAAUCCCAGAGCUUAACUCCGGAACUGCCAUUAAAACUUUUCAGCUAGAGUAUGAUAGAGGAAAGCAGAAUUUCUAGUGUAGAGGUGAAAUUCGUAGAUAUUAGAACGAAUACCAAAUGCGAAGGCAGCUUUCUGGAUCAUUAC